GAACAGCUGGCUGCGUGUCACACGCACGCCUGAAAACAUGCCGAUAAUUAGCACGAGCCGUUCCAGUCUGGACACGGAAACGGAACAGAAAUUCAGCUCAGCACCACUAAUGAGGAGGAGGAUGGUGACAGUAUGAAGGAUAAACUCCCCGAUGAUGGAACAAUCAGUGAGGGAUAUAAGAUGCUCCAUAUUCAAAGAAUGCCCUGCUACGAAUGAUGAAACACAACAACUCCAAGUUAUUCUCAACUAUUUUGCGCUUUGAUUACCUAGCACGACAGUGUAUUCAGAGAUGAUCAU